UUGCCCUUUGAAUAAACAGUGGCGAUGGGACGAGUGGGGGACAGUUUCAGUGUAUUUAACUUAACUAGAAGGUUAAAGUGUAGUCGUGUAAUUUAAUGCAGUGCCAAAUAGAAAAAAAAAAAAAAAUGUCUGAGCAAAAAAGACCCAGAGAUCAAGAGGACAGGACAGACAUCAAACGGCAAAAGGAAAAUACAUUAAAGCAUCUGGACCGAUCUGUAAGGAAGCAAGCAAAAAAAACUGAACCAAGUACUGAAAAUCAAACAUAUAGAGAGACCUUGUAAGGAAACAAACUGUUCUACGUCUUUGGUUCUGUAUUACGUUGAACUUAUGAGAAGCCCCCUCCUAGUCUGAUAAAGGAGGAUGAUGACAAACCUGAGGACUGUAUACCCAACUCUCCAGGCAAUCAAGAUGCAUGGGAAUUUCUGGCCUAAAGGUCUCUGGAUGCCUAAAGGUCACUAAAGGUCUCUGGAUGGCAAAGAAGUAAAGGUCAUGCAGUGUAAGUACAGUCAACAAAGUGGUGGAGGAAAAAAGGCAGCAGCCACAGUGCAUUGGUAAUUGGUAGGUAGAAGGUAGUGUUACACAUGAUGUGCUCCACAGUGUCACAACCUCUACUGUAGCACAUAAGGGUGUAUAUGUUCUGUGUUGCCAGUAGUUGAAGCAUCUGAUAUUGUGGAUAUAAUAACUCACUCACGAUCAUGACCUGUUCUCUUGACCCUUGUCCAUCUAAGUUGGUAGUUCAAUGUUCCGACCUGUCUUGCUUCUCAAAUUACUAAAGUUAUAAAUCUCUCUAGAUUCUGGAGUGGUUCCACCGGCAUUAAAACGUUCCACUGUGACACCAAUUCUGAAAAAACCCUCAUUAGACCCUGAUACUUUAAAUAACUAUCGUCCAAUAUCAAACUUGUCUUUUGUGGCCAAGGUUCUGGAGAAGGUUGUUACUAGACAAAUACUAGAUUUAUAUUUCUACUAAUCAUCUCUUUAAAAAAAUUAAAUCUGGAUUCUUGAAACAACAUAGUACUGAGUCAGCACUGGUACGCAUAGUCAAUGACCUGAUCAGUGCAGAUAACCCAUAGUAGUGAGUCAGCACUGGUACGCAUAGUUAAUGACCUGAUCAGUGCAGAUAACCCAUAGUAGUGAGUCAGCACUGGUACGCAUAGUUAAUGACCUGAUCAGUGCAGAUAACCUAUUGAUCAGUGCAGAUAACCUAUUGAUCAGUGCAGAUAAUGGGAAACCAUCAACAGUUGUUCUGUUGGAUAUCACUGCUGCCUAGAUAAGUGUGUUGGACUAAGUGGAAUUGUGCUUUCUUGGUUUUGUUAUCUAUACAACCAAAAGUACUGUGUCCUGUGGUGGUGCUGACUCUGAUAUGUUUAAUAUGUCUUCUGGUGUCCCGCAGGGUUCAGUUCUUGGCCCUCUUCUUUUCAAUCUCUAUAUUCUUCCAUUAGGUAGAGUAAUUAGAGAACAUGGAUUUCCAUUCCUAUGCGAUUGACACACAACUCUAUAUCAAAUUAACCCCUCAGUCAUGGCAGUUGCGGUGCUGAAAAAACAGUACAAGACUGGAGACGAAACAGACAAACCUAAACAUGGCGAAAGAAAAACGAGCUGAUAGAGGAGGAAAGUGUUAAUGGCCUGAGGUAGAAAACAUUUUGUUUGAAUGGAGUACCUUUAAUUACUUGAAUACAUACUGAAAACAUGUUCUGUGUGUCAGUGUAACGCAGUGGAACACUUGUAAAGUAUGUGUAUGGUUCUGAUUAACAAAACAAAAUGAAUGUAUUUGUACAGCUUGAAGUUUCAUACAAUUGUACUUCACCGUAUGCACAAUAAGAUGUUCUGUUUACUGGUUGUUAGAGGGUGCACUGUUUAGUUUAUUCUUUUUUUUUAUUUUGCUUUUUUAAUUGAUGCAAAGAGCCCUGUUUUAAUCAUUUUCUUUUAAAUUUGAAUUAAUACAACUAAUUUGUAAAAGCCAAUGCAGCUGCAACUGUUCAGUAAAGCAAAGAAGAUAUGUUCUAGAAGUGUUUGGGUACUUGACAAGCUAAAAUAAAAUAGGUUAAUACAGAUGUGAUGUAGGAUGUAUAACUUGAUUUUACGCUCUGUUGAUUAUUACUAUAAAUCCAUUCAAGUACCAUUUAUCGGUGGUUUACACUGUUACUACUGGAAUUUACAGUACUGUAGUAGUAUUAUGUCUAUUUUGAUUUAUUUUGACAUUGCAUUUAAAUUUACUUGAACCAAGUAUUUUGAAGUUUUGAAAAACUGAAUAGUUUCUAGCAGUUUAACUAAAAACGAAAAACACUGUAAAAUAUGAAUGUAAUAAAAUAUUGCAAACAACGGUUAUUUCAAACUAAACCUGUGUAUUUUUUUUUAUUUAUCGGUGUU